GCAGUCGACGCACCUUUCGGGGUGAGCGGCGGACGGGUUAGUAACGCGUGGGAACAUACCCUUUGGUACGGAAUAGCCUCUGGAAACGGAGAGUAAUACCGUAUGAGCCCUUCGGGGGAAAGAUUUAUCGCCAAAGGAUUGGCCCGCGUUAGAUUAGGUAGUUGGUGGGGUAAUGGCCUACCAAGCCUACGAUCUAUAGCUGGUUUUAGAGGAUGAUCAGCAACACUGGGACUGAGACACGGCCCAGACUCCUACGGGAGGCAGCAGUGGGGAAUCUUGGACAAUGGGGGCAACCCUGAUCCAGCCAUGCCGCGUGAGUGAUGAAGGCCUUAGGGUCGUAAAGCUCUUUCGCCUGUGAAGAUAAUGACGGUAGCAGGUAAAGAAACCCCGGCUAACUCCGUGCCAGCAGCCGCGG
rnacentral:rRNA from 1 species